GUUGUAUGGUUAAGUGACUAAGCGUACACGGUGGAUGCCUUGGCAGUUGGAGGCGAUGAAGGACGUACUAACUUGCGAUAAGCCUAGUCAAGCCAGUAAGAGGCGCUUGAGACUAGGAUUUCCGAAUGGGGAAACCCACCUGCUUUGCAGGUAUCGUUAACUGAAUACAUAGGUUAACGAGGCGAACGCGGAGAACUGAAACAUCUAAGUACCCGUAGGAAAAGAAAUCAACCGAGAUUCCGAAAGUAGCGGCGAGCGAAAUCGGAGCAGCCCUUAAGCUUUAAUGUAGUUAGUGGAAUAUGCUGGAAAGCAUGACGAAACAGGGUGAUAGUCCCGUACACGACAACUUAUUUAAAGUGAAAUCGAGUAGGUCGGAGCACGUGAAACUUUGACUGAAUAUGGGGGACCAUCCUCCAAGGCUAAAUACUCCCAACUGACCGAUAGUGAACCAGUACCGUGAGGGAAAGGCGAAAAGAACCCCUGUGAGGGAGUGAAAUAGAACCUGAAACCGUGUACGUACAAGCAGUAGGAGCCUACUUUUUGGGUGACUGCGUACCUUUUGUAUAAUGGGUCAGCGACUUAUAUUCUGUAGCGAGGUUAACCAUUUAGGGGAGCCGUAGCGAAAGCGAGUCUUAACUGGGCGCUUAAGUUGCAGGGUAUAGACCCGAAACCCGGUGAUCUAGCCAUGGGCAGGUUGAAGGUUGAGUAACAUCAACUGGAGGACCGAACCCACUAACGUUGAAAAGUUAGGGGAUGACCUGUGGCUAGGAGUGAAAGGCUAAUCAAACCGGGAGAUAGCUGGUUCUCCCCGAAAUCUAUUUAGGUAGAGCCUCGGACGAAUACUUACGGGGGUAGAGCACUGUUAAGGCUAGGGGUCAUCCCGACUUACCAACCCUUUGCAAACUCCGAAUACCGUAAAGUAAUAUCCGGGAGACACACGGCGGGUGCUAACGUCCGUCGUGGAGAGGGAAACAACCCAGACCGUCAGCUAAGGUCCCAAAGUGUAUGUUAAGUGGGAAACGAUGUGGGAAGGCUAAAACAGCUAGGAGGUUGGCUUAGAAGCAGCCACCCUUUAAAGAAAGCGUAAUAGCUCACUAGUCGAGUCGGCCUGCGCGGAAGAUGUAACGGGGCUAAACAUACCACCGAAGCUACGGCUGCAGACUUUGUCUGCGGGGUAGGGGAGCGUUCUGUAAGUGGCUGAAGGUGUGCCGGGAGGCAUGCUGGACAUAUCAGAAGUGCGAAUGCUGACAUGAGUAACGACAAGAGGAGUGAAAAACUCCUCCGCCGGAAGACCAAGGGUUCCUAUCCCAUGUUAAUCAGGGUAGGGUGAGUCGACCCCUAAGGCGAGGCUGAAGAGCGUAGUCGAUGGGAAACGGGUUAAUAUUCCCGUACUCGGUAUGAAUGCGAUGGGGGGACGGAGCAGGCUAGGCAAGCAUGGCGUUGGUUGUCCAUGUGAAAGGCUGUAGGCUGGUGACUUAGGAAAAUCCGGGUUGCCAAGGCUGAGAGUCGAGACGAGCCACUAAGGUGGUGAAGUUGUUGAUGCCCUACUUCCAGGAAAAGCCUCUAAGCUUCAGUUCAUACUGAAUCGUACCCUAAACCGACACAGGUGGUCAGGUAGAGAAUACUAAGGCGCUUGAGAGAACUCGGGUGAAGGAACUAGGCAAAAUUGUACCGUAACUUCGGGAGAAGGUACGCUCUUGUUUGUGAAAGACUUGCUCUGUAAGCAAACGAGAGCCGCAGUGACCAGGUGGCUGGGACUGUUUAUUAAAAACACAGCACUGUGCAAAAUCGUAAGAUGACGUAUACGGUGUGACACCUGCCCGGUGCCGGAAGGUUAAUUGAUGGGGUUAGCUUAGGCGAAGCUCUUGAUCGAAGCCCCGGUAAACGGCGGCCGUAACUAUAACGGUCCUAAGGUAGCGAAAUUCCUUGUCGGGUAAGUUCCGACCUGCACGAAUGGUGUAACCAUGGCCACGCUGUCUCCACCCGAGACUCAGUGAAAUUGAAAUCGCAGUGAAGAUGCUGUGUACCCGCGGCUAGACGGAAAGACCCCGUGAACCUUUACUACAGCUUGGCACUGAACAUUGACCCUACAUGUGUAGGAUAGGUGGGAGGCUUUGAAGCGCGCACGCUAGUGCACGUGGAGCCGACCUUGAAAUACCACCCUUGUAGUGUUGAUGUUCUAACUUAGGCCCCUGAAUCGGGGUUGAGGACAGUGCCUGGUGGGUAGUUUGACUGGGGCGGUCUCCUCCCAAAGAGUAACGGAGGAGCACGAAGGUUUGCUAAGUACGGUCGGACAUCGUACGGUUAGUGUAAUGGUAGAAGCAAGCUUAACUGCGAGACAGACACGUCGAGCAGGUACGAAAGUAGGUCAUAGUGAUCCGGUGGUUCUGAAUGGAAGGGCCAUCGCUCAACGGAUAAAAGGUACUCCGGGGAUAACAGGCUGAUACCGCCCAAGAGUUCAUAUCGACGGCGGUGUUUGGCACCUCGAUGUCGGCUCAUCACAUCCUGGGGCUGAAGUCGGUCCCAAGGGUAUGGCUGUUCGCCAUUUAAAGUGGUACGCGAGCUGGGUUUAGAACGUCGUGAGACAGUUCGGUCCCUAUCUGCCGUGGGCGUUUGAGAAUUGAGAGGGGCUGCUCCUAGUACGAGAGGACCGGAGUGGACGAACCGCUGGUGUUCGGGUUGUGAUGCCAAUUGCAUUGCCCGGUAGCUACGUUCGGAAUCGAUAACCGCUGAAAGCAUCUAAGCGGGAAGCGAGCCUCGAGAUGAGUUCUCACUUUGACUUAGAGUCAACUGAAGGGCCGUUGAAGACUACAACGUUGAUAGGCGAGAUGUGGAAGUGCUGUGAGGCAUUAAGCUAACUCGUACUAAUUACCCGUGAGGCUUAACCAUACAACGCCAAAGUGGUUU
rnacentral:rRNA from 1 species